UGUAAUAGUUGAUGGAGAAGAGUCUGUUGUAAACUGUAGUAGUGUUAUAUGCCCAACAUGUUUGUGUGUAGUUUUAGAGGCAAAAGCCUGUUUGCUGAGGCUUAAUAUAACGCUCCCUGCUCUUUUGUUUUCGUGUCUUGUAGCUGAGCUGUCUCUGGAGAGAGUCAAAAGAACUUAGGCAAAAGAAUGAAAAAGGUUGGAUUGCUUAGCCAUGAAUCAGGGCCUGGCUGAUAUAGGAUACCAAUGCCUAUUGUAUCUUUAGGCUGCAGUGUCAGGCUGAGGGUGAGAGUUGAUCUUCAGUAAGGGCAGGCAAUGAGAAGCUUGAAACACAGAAAGGAAUUGAACAAUGACUAAAGGAUAAUGCCAUUAAUUUCUGGAACCUUCUGCUUCUGGAGAACCAUGUGCGCAAGCAGAGAAGGAGGAGGAAUUCAGAGUGGUUGGUGGUAGGUAUAUUUUGGUAAUUUGUCUACCCCCAAUUUAUCAGGUCAU